GUUUUCCUGCCCCUCCGUGCAUGAUCCUGGUCGUCUACCAUUUUUCGUUUGAGCUAGACCGAAAAUUUUUGCAUCAGACACUCCAUACUCUUGUGGAUGAAUUUUUGCAACAUUAAAAAAUUAAAAACUAAAAAUUAAAACUAAAUCUAAAAAAAAUACUAUUAAUUUCGGUGCAUAUGACAAAUGCCUAUUUGGCGAAAGAAAUGGGCAAGUCAAAAAGGAAGAAUUAAAAGUGAAAGUAUACAACCCUUAUUUAUUUUUUGCUAUCUUUUUGUCUGAGUAUUGAGGAUAACAUCCGCAUUUCUGAUAAUCAUUUGUCCAUGCCUACAUGAAUCUACAAGUUCCGGAAGUAAUCAGGAUCAUCAAUUGUUCACAAAAAUAUUCUAAUCAUAAAAAUAAUAUUGAUUUUUACUAGCCCUAACCAUUAAAUAUGUUCGGACAAAUUAUGCUAAUAAACAUAUAAAAACCA